CAUUUUAUGUUAUUUUGCACUUGCGAUAUGAGAAAAAUGGAAAUAGCAUUAAUUUAUUGAUGAUAUCAAAGGUUAGUUCGUUGUUUCUGUGAUCUUUUCACUUCAGUUCUACUAUGCAUGAUCCAAUUAAUUACUGUUUUGCAAGAUACUGUGGAGCAUGAAACAAGGUUUUCGGUUGACAGGUUGUCCUGACUCCUGAGUGGUUAAAAGUCACGAAGAAUAAGAAAAUUACCAUUCCUUGUUUUUAAUGUGAAGAUUUGAUGAUUGCGAGCUACUUGAUUUUAGCUUUGAGAAAUAUAGGUCUACUUUCCAACCUUAAGUAUCCUCUCUGUAAGUCUUGUGAAUUUACAUGGAUAUUGCAUAUCAUAUGUGACGCUUAUAGUAAUGGCUAUUGAGUUGGCUAAGAUCAUCUUCGAACUCGUGAAAUCCUGAAUUCUUGAUGCUAUAUAAUAGGUAUUUAUUUUGUUAAAUCAAAGUCUGAAUUAUUCCCUCCGAUCCAUAAUACUUGUUGUGGCUUUAGUUCAAGUUCAAAUUUGAACUGAAGCCACGAGAAGUAUUAUGGAUCAGAGGUAGUAGUAAAUUGCUCUAACUCAGGCCGUGUCUUUAUUUUUAUUCAGUGGACUAUCUGACAAUAGCUACAAGAAAGAAAGGGUUAUAUGAUCUUAUAACUUCUUUUAGACUUGACGUGUUCUUGAAUUGUUUAAUGACCGAGUAAUAGUAAUUUAUUGUGAAAAAAUGACAAUUCGUUUUGAGGGAAGGGAACUGUUCUAUUGAUCACUUAUUGGGUGGAGAGAUAAACUAGACAUGGCGACCAACACCUAAGGUUGUGGCCGCCUUGUGUGCAUGGCCUAGUAUGGCCAUAGAGACCCUCCACUCCUGAAUUUCAUGAACAAAGUGCGCAUCAAAUCCUAAAUAUAGCAACUAGCCAACUAGUACCUUUGCGAAAUCUCCAUAGGAUAACACAUACAUCAAAGGAAAAAGCCAAAGAUUGGGGUUCUAAAAUUGAUCCAUCCUGAGGGUUGUGUAAAUCAGUUGAUGCGGUGCAAGAUUGAUCCAUCAGUCAUCACAAAAUCCUCAGUUAGCUUUUUGCUAAAAAAAAGGACCGAUAUUGUUCUUUUUUUAUUUUAUUUACUUUGAAAUCAAAAGAUCAGUCUAUAACUACAUUUUUUAAGAAUAACUAUUUUUUUUUCAUAAUUACUUAUUUAGCGUAAGAGUAGGGAUGUCCUGCAGCCCAUCAAACUCAUAGGCCAAAGAAACGAUUUUCCCAAAAGGCUUUUACUUCAUAGUGGUGGUAGUGAGAAGCACUGAGGUGGCUGUAUUUGGAACACGAAAAACAUUGUAACAGACUGUUUGGAAUGUGGAUUUUCAAUAACAACGUUGUAACUGGCUGCUCUCUUUUUCUUGGACAUGCUUCCGAAUGCAUGUUUGAGAAGGAAAAAACCAGAGAGUCUGACCGCCAUGGCACUGAAAAAUAAAAGAGCUACUAGCAGGACCAUGAACAAAGACAAAAAAGAAAUGCUUUAGAAAAAAUGUAAUUAUAAAAAAGAAGCAAAGUUAUGCCUAAGUAACUGACUGUUUGGAAUUUGGUAAUUCCGUAGGGUAAGGAACAUACAAUGUUUUCUGCAGAUUCUUGCGUUACAAAAAGGCGCUUAGAUAUAACAAGUACAUUGUAGGAAAUGUCAAUGCUAUUCAUACAUCUAUUAUUUUUUGUUAUCAUGUUUCUAAUUUUCUGGUGUCUGUGGAGAAAUUUCCUGGAAGAUAUAGUAUGUGAUUGAUGAUGAGAGUUCUGCUUAAACAUUCGGGGUGUUCAAUGUAUAGUAAUGCUCAGUUUAGUUUACUUUUUGUCAUGCAAAUUAGGUGGCAGCUACUAGCAAUUAACACUGACGGGUUGAUUUGGUACUGGCAAAUUUUGUUAAAGGCCCCCAAAAAAUAAUGACCAUCUUGUUCUUGUGAACCAUAUUUAUGAAAGCGUAAUUCCUUCCAUAUAUAUGGUUAUGCAUAUAUUAUUUCUUCUGGAGUUAUUGUCAUGAACUAGGGUUCAUGAGGGCAGGGGCGGAGCUCUUCGAAGCUAGCAGGGUGGUAAAAGAAAUUUUACUUGCAAUCAGCCAACAAAAUUAGCCUGUGAUUAUAUGUUGCAUAUGAUUGGUGCACCCUGCCAACUUUGGUCUAGCUCUGCAGUCUGCCCCUGCAUGAGGGUAACCCGGAGGAUGGCCGGGUGGUCUAGAUUAGCGAUUGGGAGGAAGUAGACAGCAGAUGUAUUGUAAUUCUUAUUGCUAAUUGAAAAUAGAUGUGCCAAGGCUCCUUAUAUAGAGCUGGCCCUACAACUGAAUCUCAACAAAUCUCAUCUCCAGUGAAAUAUCUAUCUCUAAUUGGCGUACGGCCCAAGCUAAGGGAUAUCUUAUCGUUGUCACCUCCCAGUUUAAAUGAUAUUAUUCCUAACUGAAUGACAUCAGGGAUUAUAUCCCUUGGUUAGAGCCAGCUAAACCCGGCAUGUUGGUGACCAACCCACAUGACAAUUACGUUACUACUACAUGUAUCAUUUUAUGGAUUCUAGUACGUUGUAUGCUCAAAUAGUUCAAUAUUCCUAAAAUACGUUUCCUGUGUUCCCCUAAUAUUCUUGAAUCUGAAAUUCAGAAUGUCUGUAAGCUGCAGUCUACUCUUAUUGUCAUGACAUUGCUAACUGUGCUCAUUACAUGGUUGUGACAAUACCUACUUGAUAGGCAAUAGCAAGACAUAGAAAUGCUAUGUCUUCAGGAGUGUCUGGUUUUCCUUGAUUUGAAGAAGGAAAAAAACUUUUCUGUUUUCUCUACACCUCAGAUUUUUUUUUUGACACAUAGAGUUGCAAGGCUUUUCAUUAUUUAUUUUUCAAACCAUGAUAAGCUUGAAAACCCUAGUGUAUAUGGUUAAUGAAAAGCGGGAGUUUAUGAUUUGUUGUUGGGCCAAAUACAGAAAAGGUGAACACACAAGAUCACAUAUAAAGUAGGUUUUUUGUGAUCCCAUUCUGCUGGCCCUGCGCCUGAUGUGGUGCAGAGGUCAGGGAGCCUUGCACUUGAAGCUUGCUGGUGGCAUGAAAGUUUGGCACUGCGUUGCACUUUAAUCUGCAGUAACAAUUUGACAUACAACUUUAUACUUAUCAUUUCUUUGGCCAACUGCGUUGUUUUACUUUCUUAGGUAUAAUGCUUUAUUUAUGGUUGAUAUUUUGGAUAGCCUAUGGUAGAAGCAGUGAGUUUUCACUAUUUUUGUUGUGUGUUUCUCCAUUUGUUCAAUUUAGCAUCAUUUUUCUCAUUGCACUCUUCAGUUUGACUACUUUUGACAUACAUGCAAUAAGCAAGAUGACAGGUGCAGUGUUGCUAAACUGCCUACAAUUCAUUAAUGUUUUACAUGCUGCGUGUAUAUAUUUUGGGUGUGCUUGGUAGAGGAAAGUUGGAUUGGUUAUGAGUAGUUAUUGCCAUGUGGUUUUGUUCAUUACUGACGGUGUUCGAGUUGAUUGGCAGUACAACAAAUCCAUUAUGAAUAGUUGGAUUGUGUAUACGGAGAGUUGCAAGGCUUUUUUCGGACCAUGAUAAGCUUGGAAAGCCUAGUUUACAGCAACUCAAUUAUCUCCUUACAGAAUCAUCUUCUUGGAUAUAUCAUCGGCUUGCCACUCUUCUCCUUAAUUGUCUGAUGAAUUAGUAGGACAACAGUAAAAAAAGAUAUUAUUUUGAGAAAUGGGAGUUUGCUGUGUUUAGAUUUUUUAUUGGGCCCAUUAGUGGAAAACAGGUACACACAAGAUCAUGGAUAAACUGAGUUUUUUUUUGUGAUCCCGUUAUGUUGGCCCUGCACCUGAUGUGGUGCAGAGGUCAGGGAGCCUUGCACUUGAACCUUACCAAUGGCAUGAAAGUUCGACACUUCACUCCAAUUUAAUCUGCAUUAACGCUUUUACGAACAACUUAAUCUGUAUGUCUAAUUUCUCUGGUCAACUGCAUUGCUUGAUUUUUUUGGUAUAAUUCUUUGUUUAUGUCUGAUAGUUUGGACAGAACCAUGGUAGCAGCAGUGACUUCUCAAGAACUUUGUCGUAUGUUUAACGAUCAAGACUUGGGUUUCUUCACCAACUUCCUGGGCAUCUUCAUAUUUGUUCUGGCCAUGGCGUACCACUUUGUGAUGGCUGAUCCGAAAUACGAAGGGAACUAGCACUUGAAGCAAAAGCAUGCCAUGGCCCAUGGACCCAAAUAGCGGAAUUUGUUAGAACUCCACCAUGAAAGCUUGGUGCAUGAAGGUACAUCGUCGAUAAUCAUAAUCAUGCUCACGGCGUGGUGGAUCUGGAAGCACCGGAAUGUUGCGAUCUUUGACAACGCACAGCCUUCGGUGCCUUCCCUGCUCAACGACAUCAAGACCGAGGCGCAACAGUGAGCGAGCGCGGGAGCCCGGGGUGUCCGCCAGAUUCUCCCCUAGACUAGGUCUCCUUUCUUGGGUCGAGGUGUAGUGCGGGGUGUUGGUCCCUUUGUGGACAUGUGCAUAUAACCUUUUCUAUCUAUCAAUGCAUCGAAACGCAAGUCUUUUGCGUUUUCGCGAAAAAGAAAGCUUGGUGCAUGAGAAUGUUUGCUAUUUUGCACUGUGAUGAAUAUGGUACUUAUGGCGCUUCGACUCGUAUGAUGUGUAUAAUGAGCUGAAAGUAACAUAGUUUCAUGUAUAGUCCAGAAUUAUUGUGGAAAAGGUAAUUUUCUUGAUUGCCCAAAGUAUUUUGUUGUCCUGGUGCCCAACU